rnacentral:rRNA from 1 species
GACGAACCGUGCGAACGUUGUUCGGAAUCACUGGGCAUAAAGGGCGCGUAGGCGGCCUGUCAAGUCAGGGGUGAAAUCCGGCAGCUCAACUGUCGAAGUGCCUUUGAUACUGACGGGCUCGAGGGAGGUAGGGGUGUGCGGAACUUCCGGUGGAGCGGUGAAAUGCGUUGAUAUCGGAAGGAACGCCGGUGGCGAAAGCGGCGCACUGGAUCUCUUCUGACGCUGAGGCGCGAAAGCUAGGGGAGCAAACGGGG